UGGGGAAUAUUGCACAAUGGGGGAAACCCUGAUGCAGCGACGCCGCGUGAGUGAAGAAGUAUUUCGGUAUGUAAAGCUCUAUCAGCAGGGAAGAUAAUGACGGUACCUGACUAAGAAGCCCCGGCUAACUACGUGCCAGCAGCCGCGGUAAUACGUAGGGGGCAAGCGUUAUCCGGAUUUACUGGGUGUAAAGGGAGCGUAGGUGGCAGGGCAAGUCAGAUGUGAAAACCCGGGGCUCAACCCCGGGAGUGCAUUUGAAACUGUCCAGCUGGAGUGCAGGAGAGGUAAGCGGAAUUCCUAGUGUAGCGGUGAAAUGCAUAGAUAUUAGGAGGAACACCAGUGGCGAAGGCGGCUUACUGGACUGUAACUGACACUGAGGCUCGAAAGCGUGGGGAGCAAACAGG
rnacentral:rRNA from 1 species